rnacentral:rRNA from 1 species
AAAAGGUCGAAUGGGGAGAUUCAUCGUCAGCGGCGUUGGCUUCACGAUGGCUCGUGAUGUUGCGGAACUUCGGUUCCCGUGGCACGCGGUCGUCGCGUUACGUCCGGCGUCGUCGGCGUGCACUUCUCCCCUAGUAGAACGUCGCGACCCGUUGGGUGUCGAUUUAAGGCCCGGGUGGGUGUCUGUCGUGUCGUUUUCGAACACUCGACAAACCCUCGGUCGCCAGUAUCGGCUGCCCGGCGGUACGCCUAUGGUAUCGGGCCGCAAUUAUCGAACUGCGUCAGGCCCGUCGCAAGCGAGGUCAGUUGAAUUGUCGCGGAGGUACGGACCUAGUGCCGUCCCCGUGCCUGGCCAGCUGUUUGCAGACGGUGUCCUCUGACUGGCCAAAAACAAUUUGAAAGUGUGAUACCGGUCGGCGACGCUAAUGCUUUGGGUAAUCUCAGGACCCGUCUUGAAACACGGACCAAGGAGUCUAACAUGUGCGCGAGUCAUUGGGAUAUCGCAUGCCUAAAGGCGAAAUGAAAGUGAAGGUCGUACCUAGUGUCGACCGAGGGAGGAUGGGCCGCGUUACGAUGCGGCUCCGCACUCCCGGGGCGUCUCGUUCUCAUUGCGAGAAGAGGCGCACCCAGAGCGUACACGUUGGGACCCGAAAAGGG